rnacentral:rRNA from 1 species
CGGUGAAUACGUUCCCGGACCUUGCACACACGCCCGUCAAGCCAUGGAAGCUGGGUGUACCUAAAGUCGGUAACCGUAAGGAGCCGCCUAGGGUAAAACUAGUGACUGGGGCU